UAACAGAUGAUGCCUAUCAACUGUUUAAAAGAUGGGUUCUGCUAUCACUCUUGGGAUGGGACCCUGCGGUGCAUUAGCUAGUUGGUAGGGGUAAUGGGCCUACCCAAGGCGAUGAUGCAUAGCCCGAGUUGAGAGACUGAUCGGGCCACAUUGGGACUGAGACACGGCCAAAACUCCUACGGGAGGCAGCAGUAGGGAAUCUUCCACAAUGGACGCAAGUCUGAUGGAGCAACGCCGCGUGAGUGAAGAAGGGUUUCGGCUCGUAAAAGCUCUGUUGUUGGUGAAGAAGGACAGGGGUAGUAACUGACCUUUGUUUGACGGUAAUCAAUUAGAAAGUCACGGCUAACUACGUGCCAGCAGCCGCGGUAAU
rnacentral:rRNA from 1 species